rnacentral:hammerhead_ribozyme from 1 species
AUCCGGCGGAAGAGUUCCAAAUAGGACGAAACGCGCGUCUUGGAU